AAACACUGAAACCUUACAGAUUGGGAAGUGAAUCGUGGGCUUUCUUAGGCCCAACACAUCUAUACACGUGCCAUUCAGCCGACAUGUCGUACAGUCAAUCACGAUAUGUUAAUUAAUGAAUCUCCCUUCUCCAACGCGUACCUUAUUGUUUUGUGAAUUUUUUCUAAUUUGCCACGUAUGCUAAUUUUAUGAGGUUCCAUGUGAGCGAGCACACACGAUCUCCGCCCCCGACUAUAUAUAUAAGGAAAUGUAAAUGGCGGGAACCAGAGAUGUAGAGAUGGUCUGAGUUUUGAGUGAGAAUGUCUCUGUGGCGAAAGAAAUGAGGAACGACGAUUAUCAUUUGGAACGUUUUUACCUUUGGCCUCGUCGGCGCCGCGACAUCCACUUCCUUCGCCGUGUGGUUUACGCUAUUCGUAUGUUUGGAUUGCUUUCAGGAACCGGAUGAUCGGAAGCUUUGGAGGAUAUUUUUCUCUGGAAUAAUCAGCGCCACAGCGUCCAUUAUUUCCGAACUGAUCCUGGGGGAUACGAUUCAAUCAUUCCACUUAGAUGGUUGGUAUAGGGUGACUGACACAUCACGCAGCAAUUGGUAGAUUGACUAUACAGGGACUCGAAGUGAGAGUAUGUGACAUUAUCACUGCUCAGUUUCAGGUCUGGACAGACUGCAUUUGGAUCCAAGGCAAAGCAGUAUCCCCGUAUCAAACCAGGAAAUAAAGGUGUGAUGGGAAAUCUUUGCCAUUGACUCCUGGAGAAGGCAGGGGAUUAGCAUCUUGAAUCGUCCCAAGUGGAGCAAAUUAGGUUAGUUGGGACCAACUGACUUCGAUGGAAACGGCAGCUAGAAGGAAAAUCUUUGGAGCCAAAA